rnacentral:rRNA from 1 species
AGUCAGGUAACGAGCGAGACCCUCGUCCCUAAUUGCUACCAUCAUUCUCAGGAAUGGUGGGGGGAAUUAGGCAGACUGCCGUUGUUAAAACGGAGGAAGGAGAGGGCCACGGCAGGUCAGUAUGCCCCGAAACCUUUGGGCCACACGCGGGCGUGCAAUGGUAGGGACAACGGGUUCCAAGCUCGGAAGAGUGAGGUAAUCCUUCAAACCCUACCCCAGUUAUGAUUGGGGCUGGAACUCGCCCUCAUGAAUCUGGAAUCCCUAGUAAUGCGCGUCAACAUCGCGCGGUGAAUACGUCCCUGCUCCUUGCACA